CACAUCUCCAGCACACAAGAACUUCCAAAUGCCUGAACCGCAGCGGCCAGACAUUCCUCCAGAACCUCCUCCCCCAGGAGCUUGCUACAAGUGCCAGAAAUCUGACCACCAGGCCAAGGAAUGCCUGCAGCCCAGGAUUCCUCCUAAGCCGUGUAGCAUCUGUGCGGGACCCCACUGAAAAUCAGACUGUUCAACUCACCUGGCAGCCACUCCUAGAGCCCCUGGAACUCUGGCCCAAGGCUCUCUGACUGACGCCUUCUCGGAUUAACGGCUGAAGACUGAUGCUGCCCGAUCACCUUGGAAGCCCUGUAGACCAUCAUGGAUGCCGAGCUUCAGGUAACUCUCACAGUGGAAGGAAAGCUUCCUGGAUUCUCCUCCAGAAAGGUUGGACUUGGUGCCUCUGCU
rnacentral:lncRNA from 10 species